rnacentral:lncRNA from 1 species
AAUCGAGUGGAGAAUUCUUUUUUUUUUUAAUUAAAUUUUAAUAGGGAAAUGCGGUUGUGCUUGUUUGCGCGACGAGAUUUCUGAAACAAUCGUACAAAUUAUAAUUAAUAAUUUAAUAAAUAUUAAUAUUGCCGAUGUUGUACCGUUAAUAUUUCAUUUCGAAAUGAAUAUUGCGUUAAAAUUAUUUUCGCAUUUUAAUAUUUUGUAUUUAACGCGUUACACGUUGAUAAGCUGUAGUUAAAAACAUCAAAGCGCAAAAAGUUUGAAUCGUUAUAUAACAUGUACACGCGUACGCGUUUAAUUUUUCAUUUAUUAACAACAAGCUUAUUCAUUCCAUUCCCUUUGGAAAAGUGUGUUUCUAAUAUUUUCGAGAUAAUUUAUUUCUCGACCGAAUCUUUUACUUCCGAUAUUUUAUUAUAAAAUAGAAAGGUUCGUGUAUUCGUUCGCGGAAAAAUUGUUUAAGGGAAUUGAGAAGUACGCGUAAUAGCGCGGAGGGAAAUCCGGGGGAUUCAAAAUGGAAAUUAGUUACGAAUUCAUGUUUUAAUUCCAAUUAGCUUUUUUUGUAAUUAUUUCAUAUUCGCGAGGAGGGACGUUACAACGAGUUCUACUCACUCGGAUUUUUCUACAUUAACGUGAAAAUUCAUUUUCAAAAAUAUCAUAAUUGAUAAUAUCAUUUAAUUUCAAACUGCACUGCUCCCAUUUAAUGUAAGCGAUAUCUUCUUCCACGAUUAACAUUGUUAAUCACAAUCAAAUCAGGGAUAUUAUUUUCGUUUCAAUCGAUUGAUUUACCUUCCGUCGACUUAAUAACAUUUAAUAGCGCGUUUCGUGUAUUCUUGGGCGUACAAUUUUAUCGAGAAAAAUUGUUAAAACAUGUUCUUAUACUCGAUCUUUUUUUUUUCUUUUUUCUUUUUUUUUUUUACAAGAAGAAUGUUACAACAAGCCUAUAAUAUUUUCACUCAACACGGUUAGCGGUUACAGUUAUUCUUAAACCGUGUAAAAAUGUCAAGGACCUUUUCAGCUUACACACAGCCACAUUGAGUGUUCUCGAUUGCUCGGGAAAAUCAAUAUUUAUAACCAGGAAGAUGGUUGGGAAACAGUCCGACGUACGUAACAUCGGAAAUGAGAUUAUAUCGACGUGAUAUCUCGUCGAUUUUUUAUCAUCUAUAAUAUUUAUAUUUACGCAACGAAAUCCCUUUCGUUUCGUAUCACAGUUCGAUUAUUCUUCUUUUUUUUUUAAUAACGUCAAUAUACAUAAUUGAAACCUUACAAGCAAAAUUUCAUUUUCAUCUGAUAUUUGUAAUUUCAUUCCCACUUUUGUACAUUUCCGAAAGAAGGAAACAAAUUUAUUUAAUCGAAAUUGAUAACGUGUAAUUGAAUAAUAAACCAAAUUGUUUGACAUUAUUUCGAAUAAAGUGAUCACACACUAUUUCAAAAAGAUGUUAAGAGAUGUUUGGAAUCAAUUAUUAUAUUUUGAAAAAUUCUAGAUAAUCUAAUAACGCAUUCGAAUAAUAAUUUGUAAUAAUACAAUCCUUCUUUUUUACCAAUGUUUCACUUUUUGCUUUUAAUUCUCCGCUUUAACACUUGAAUAGAUCCCAAUUCAAUAGAUAACAAACAAGAUGGACGAUGGGAUAGGAAGAUUAACUUUCUUCCUUCGAAAUUUAUUUCUUCCUUUCUUUAUGCUUGAAUCUGAUACAAUACUUGUUUCCUGAUUCUAUGUUUUCAACAACACGCGAAGAUAUCAUGGUCGAAUUAACGAAUUCCAUGGAUGGAAGCGAUGCCCAAGGAUCGGGCAUCGGCCAAAACCACCUCGGUUACGCCGAGAGGUCCAAUUCCAUAAAACCCGAAAAUGUUGGUACCCGGCAAACAAACUCCUUGUCUGGUUAACUUUCUCUGUAAACGCCGUAUGGAUGUUGGCGACGAGUUUUCUAGAUGUAUUACGUUCACGUAGGGCGGUGCAGAUGUGACGAGGAUCGGGGAGAAACGAAUCCCUGAUCGGGAACAGGAUUGAUGGAAGGAAGAGGAGACCUGUCCGGAAUUAUUUAAAAUUUAAAACAAGCAGAGAAAAGCAGCGUGGAUAGAUCCUCAUGCACUCCGCGCCGUAGCCUGAAAUUAGGACCCCAUUUUCUUAGACACCGUGAAACAUGAUUUUGGACAACCCGAGCUCGACCUCGCCUACUAAAUCUUCAAAACUCGUGGAAUCUCUGGCCAACCAGAUCUCGGAAUCCUGAUUUCGCAAGACUCGAGUCGUGGGACUUCGUCCAAGGUCGCGGAUUAUCGGCUGGAUUGGGCCACCGCGGGAUUGUUGAAUCUAACCUAGUAAGGCUUGAAAAUCGAUAGACCUUGGCCAGUAAGAUCCACUCCACAAGCCAUCCGUGGAAUCUUGCCCAGUAAGAAUCCAAGAGUUGUUUGCCGGAACCGGCCUAGUAAGACACCACUCGAACGGAUCUCGGCUAUGAGACCUCACUUGAAACCUUCAACCGUGGAGCCUCGACUUCUCUUCUGCCACCUCUCCUCUUUCAUACAGUUUCCAUGAAUCCGUAAUUCUAUAUCUUGAAAUUUCUCUCCUUCAAGAUUUCUUUCCUUUUUCUUUGUCUUCGAGUUUCCAAACUUUGCUUAGAUUUUAUCGUUCUAUCUUCACAUAAAUCUUCCUAUAUCAUUUCGUGCAGUUUUAAAAACCUCAAAGAAUAAACUUGUUUCACAAGAUUAUAUGAAUUUAUAUAAUUCAUACAAUUCAUAACGAUAAUUAUUAUCGUCGAAUCAAGAAACAAUUCCAAAGCAAAGAGCGCCAAUUUCCUUGCGCCUAUCGCACAACGAUCGAGAGCAAUCAAGGAAAAACAGGCAACGCUAUCUCAUCCCGUAUACAACUUCCUUCUUACCCGCUCUUAACCUAAUUGGCCGUGAUAAUAUUUUUAGCGCACGAUUUUGCCCAUUCCAAACCGCUCGAAUGAAUUUGCCAAGGAAAUUCCACCGGCAGCCUGUUUCCGUAUCGACGCCAUUCCCAAAAAUUUCAAAUCGUGCAGAAAUAACACGAAAUCGAAAACGUGUUAUCCUUGGACGAGGUUCCCUCGUAUUGCAAUCCGUGUGUUAUGUAUCCCACGCUCUACGUGUCCGCCAAGUUUGUUAUUCAAGAGUAUUCACUGAACUUUGGGGAAAGCCCUCGUACACGGGGGCUGUAAAUUCGUCGGCGCUACUACGUGUCGCGGCUUCGCGAUACAUCGAUCUUUAUUGGGUAUAAAACAAGACAAGGGUGGUAAUGCCUCUGCACAAAUGGACAACAAUCUUCGGUGCUCGGUUAAUAUUCCGUGUUUGGAAUUGGAAGGUGUUUUCGGUGUGGGUUAUCGCGCUGCUUGCACAUUUAUCGAACGUUAUUAAGAUGUGAAAUAUUUAGACGACGAAGGUGAUGAUAUUAUUAUCGUUCGA